rnacentral:rRNA from 1 species
GAUGAACGCUGACAGAAUGCUUAACACAUGCAAGUCUUUGGCGAAGCUGUGCUUGCACAGCCUAGCCAAGGCGGACGGGUGAGUAACGCGUAAGGAACUUGCCCUGCAGUCAGGGAUAACAGACGGAAACGACUGAUAAGACCUGGUAAAGUCAGCCGGACUCAUGUCCAGCCUGAUGAAAAGAGAUGCUGCAGGAGAGCCUUGCGUCCUAUUAGCUUGUUGGUGGGGUAACGGCCCACCAAGGCGAUGAUAGGUAGCCGGCCUGAGAGGGUGGACGGCCACAAGGGGACUGAGAUACGGCCCUUACUCCUACGGGAGGCAGCAGUGGGGAAUAUUGGACAAUGGGGGCAACCCUGAUCCAGCAAUUCUGUGUGCACGAUGAAGGUUUUCGGAUUGUAAAGUGCUUUCAGCAGGGAAGAAAAAAAUGACGGUACCUGCAGAAGAAGCGACGGCUAAAUACGUG